rnacentral:rRNA from 1 species
GACGAACGCUGGCGGCGUGCUUAACACAUGCAAGUCGAACGGCAAGGCCCUGCUUUUGUGGGGUGCUCGAGUGGCGAACGGGUGAGUAACACGUGAGUAACCUGCCCUUGACUUUGGUAUAACUUCAGGAAACUGGGGCUACUCCCGUAUAGGAGCUCCUGCUGCAUGGUGGGGGUUGGAACGUCUCGGCGGUUGGGGAUGGACUCGCGGCUUAUGAGCUUGCUGGUUGGGUAGUGGCUUACCAAGGCAUUGACGGGUAGGCGGCCUGAGAGGGUGACCGGGCACAAUGGGACUGAGAUAGGGCCCAGACUGGUACGGGAGGCAGCAGUGGGGAAUAUGGCACAAUGGGAGGAAGCGGGAGGCAGAAACGCCGCGUGCGGGAAGACGGCCUUCGGGUUGUAAACCGCUUUCGCCUGUGACGAAGCGUGAGUGACGGUAAUGGGUAAAGAAGCACCGGCUAACUACGUG